AAGGACUGUGCUCCCAAUCCGCUUACGCUCAAGGAAGAACUGGCCCAGAACCAGCCUGCUGUCAGGAUCAGAACAAAAGAGGAGGACUGCAUAUGUAUGGACCCACUCCAGAUGGCACGGGGACGGGGGGAGUAGGAAAAGUGGCAUGGGUUACUCAGGCUGAAAUGCUCAAGACACUCUGUCUCAAGGGAUUUGUGGCUGUUUCAUCCUCAAGUAUAGGGGGAAUAGUGGCCAGGAAGAUCUCAGAGGUGGCUUCUGGAAGAGGAAUCUGGGUACUGGCUACCCUGCCUUGUGUCCCAUCAUUGGUCUGUCUUGCCUGUCUUGGAGCACAUUUCUCACCAAGCCCCCUGCUGAAAUCAUGGGGUAAAAAAGAGACACAGGGGGAAUGGAGGAGCCAGAGAGAAAGCAGUGUGAUCACAGGCACACAGGACAGCAGCUCACCUUCCCAUCCUUGCUGGCUUUUGCACAAAUACUUCUAAGGGGCCAGGCGUGGUGACUCAUGCUUGUAAUUCCAAGCACUUUGGGAGGCUGAGGCAGGUGGAUCACCUGAAGCCAGGAGUUCAAGAGCAGCCUGGCCAACAUGGCGAAACCCUGUCUCUACUAAAAAUACAAAAUUUAGCCAGGCAUGGUGGCGGGAGCCUGUAAUCUCAGCUCCUAGGGAGGCUGAGCCAGAAGAAUCGCUUAAACCUGGAAGCUGGAGGUUGCAGUGAGCCAAGAUCACACCACCACACUCCAGCCUGGGUGACAGAGCAAGACUCCAUCUCAAAAAGAAAAAAAAGAAAAAAA
rnacentral:lncRNA from 1 species